UCAAGAUAAGAUUUCCCAUCAUCAUUAGAUGAGUAAGACUCCAGGAAGACCACCUGGUUGAUAGGUCUCAGGUAGAAGGAUAGCAAUAUCUGUAGCUUAGAGAUACUAAUAAGUCGAGGACUUGACCUA
rnacentral:ncRNA from 1 species